CCCAGACUCCUACGGGAGGCAGCAGUGGGGGAUAUUGCACAAUGGGGGAAACCCUGAUGCAGCGACGCCGCGUGUGGGAAGACGGUCCUCUGGAUUGUAAACCACUGUCCCCAGGGACGAAAAUGACGGUACCUGGGGAGGAAGCUCCGGCUAACUACGUGCCAGCAGCCGCGGUAAUACGUAGGGGGCAAGCGUUAUCCGGAUUUACUGGGUGUAAAGGGAGCGUAGACGGCAUGGCAAGUCAGAUGUGAAAUCCCCGCGCUCAACGUGGGAACUGCCUUUGAAACUGGCAAACUGGAGUGUGUGAGAGGAUAGUGGAAUUCCAGGUGUAGGAGUGAAAUCCGUAGAUAUCUGGAGGAACAUCAGUGGCGAAGGCGACUAUCUGGCACAUAACUGACGCUGAGGAGCGAAAGCGUGGGUAGCAAACAGGAUUAGAUACCCCAGUACUU
rnacentral:rRNA from 1 species